rnacentral:rRNA from 1 species
UACGUAGGGUGCAAGCGUUGUCCGGAAUUAUUGGGCGUAAAGAGCUCGUAGGCGGUCUGUCGCGUCGGAUGUGAAAAUCCAGGGCUUAACCCUGGACCUGCAUUCGAUACGGGCAGACUAGAGUUCGGUAGGGGAGACUGGAAUUCCUGGUGUAGCGGUGAAAUGCGCAGAUAUCCGGAGGAACACCGGUGGCGAAGGCGGCUUCCUGGACCGACACUGACGCUGAGGCGCGAAAGCUAGGGGAGCAAACGGG